UCUAAAAACAAACCAACAUAAUAAAAUGCAUGUAAUAAAGCACCAAAAUUAAACCCACCCAACAACUUCACAACUAACGAAAUAUAUCAAAACGUUAUAAACCCAAGAUGUAUGGUGAUCCUUUCAUCUAGAAAUGUCAAUACAAAACUUAACCGAAAGACAUGAAGAACAAUAACUCAAAUGAUUUAUACAGAGGCGACAAUUAUUUUUUAAAUCAAAUAUAGAUUCUUACAUUAAAUUUAAUUUAGUAUUCCACGGUUUUUUGUUGUUGUUGUUGUUGAUGUUGUUUUUUGUAAGUGUGUGGUUGAAAAUAAAAAAAUAAUAACACUAUAGUUCAAAAGUUUGCUUUCGAUGAGCGAGUUAACAGAUGAACUAGGACACUGAUGUAGGUUUUGUAACAGAUGAACUAGGACACUGGUGUAGGUUUUGUAACAGAUGGACUAGGACACUGAUGUAGGUUUUGUAACAGAUGGACUAGGACACUGAUGUAGGUUUUGUUAUAGAUGAACUAUAGGACACUGAUGUAGGUUUUGUUAUAGAUGGACUAGGACACUGAUGUAGGUUUUGUUAUAGAUGGACUAGGACACUGAUGUAGGUUUUGUUAUAGAUGAACUAGGACACUGAUGUAGGUUUUGUUAUAGAUGGACUAGGACACUGAUGGAGGUUUUGUUAUAGAUGAACUAGGACACUGAUGUAGGUUUUGUUAUAGAUGAACUAGGACACUCAUGUAGGUUUUGUUAUAGAUGGACUAGGACACUGAUGUAGGUUUGUAACAGAUGGACUAGGACACUGAUGUAGGUUUUGUAACAGAUGGACUAGGACACUGAUGUAGGUUUUGUUAUAGAUGAACUAGGACACUGAUGUAGGUUUUGUUAUAGAUGAACUAGGACACUGAUGUAGGUUUUGUUAUAGAUGGACUAGGACACUGAUGGAGGUUUUGUUAUAGAUGAACUAGGACACUGAUGUAGGUUUUGUUAUAGAUGAACUAGGACACUGAUGGAGGUUUUGUAAAAGAUGAACUAGGACACUGAUGGAGGUUUUGUUAUAGAUGAACUAGGACACUGAUGUAGGUUUUGUUAUAGAUGAACUAGGACACUGAUGGAGGUUUUGUAAAAGAUGAACUAGGACACUGAUGGAGGUUUUGUUAUAGAUGAACUAGGACACUGAUGUAGGUUUUGUUAUAGAUGAACUAGGACACUGAUGGAGGUUUUGUAACAGAUGGACUAGGACACUGAUGGGAGGUUUUGUUAUAAAUGAACUAGGACACUGAUGGAGGUUUUGUUAUAGAUGAACUAGGACACUGAUGUACGUUUGUUAUAGAUGAACUAGGACACUGAUGGAGGUUUUGUUAUAGAUGAACUAGGACACUGAUGGAGGUUUUGUUAUAGAUGAACUAGGACACUGAUGUAGGUUUUGUUAUAGAUGAACUAGGACACUGAUGUAGGUUUUGUUAUAGAUGAACUAGGACACUGAUGGAGGUUUUGUUAUAGACGGACUAGGACACUGAUGUAGGUUUUGUUAUAGAUGAACUAGGACACUGAUGUAGGUUUUGUUAUAGAUGAACUAGGACACUGAUGGAGGUUUUGUUAUAGACGGACUAGGACACUGAUGUAGGUUUUGUUAUAGAUGAACUAGGACACUGAUGUAGGUUUUGUUAUAGACGGACUAGGACACUGAUGUAGGUUUUGUAACAGAUGGAAUAGGACACUGAUGGAGGUUUGGUUAUAGAUGAACUAGGACACUGAUGUAGGUUUUGUAACAGAUGGACUAGGACACUGAUGUAGGUUUUGAUAUAGACGGACUAGGACACUGAUGUAGGUUUUGUUAUAGACGAACUAGGACAAUGAUGGAGGUUUUGUUAUAGAUGAACUAGGACACUGAUGUAGGUUUUGUAACAGAUGAACUAGGACACUGAUGUAGGUUUUGUUAUAGAUGAACUAGGACACUGAUGUAGGUUUUGUUAUAGACGGACUAGGAAAAUGAUGGAGGUUUUGUUAUAGAUGAACUAGGACACUGAUGUAGGUUUUGUUAUAGACGGACUAGGACACUGAUGUAGGUUUUGAUAUAGACGGACUAGGACACUGAUGGAGGUUUUGUUAUAGACGAAUUAGGACAAUGAUGUAGGUUUUGUUAUAGAUGGACUAGGACACUGAUGUAGGUUUUGUUAUAGAUGGACUAGGACACUGAUGGAGGUUUUGUUAUAGACGGACUAGGACACUGAUGUAGGUUUUGUUAUAGAUGAACUAGGACACUGAUGUAGGUUUUGUUAUAGACGGACUAGGACACUGAUGUAGGUUUUGUUAUAGAUGGACUAGGACACUGAUGUAGGUUUUGUUAUAGAUGGACUAGGACACUGAUGGAGGUUUUGUUAUAGAUGAACUAGGACACUGAUGUAGGUUUUGUUAUAGAUGGACUAGGACACUGAUGUAGGUUUUGUUAUAGAUGAACUAGGACACUGAUGUAGGUUUUGUUAUAGAUGGACUAGGACACUGAUGGAGGUUUUGUUAUAGAUGAACUAGGACACUGAUGUAGGUUUUGUUAUAGAUGAACUAGGACACUGAUGUAGGUUUUGUUAUAGACGGACUAGGACACUGAUGUAGGUUUUGUUAUAGAUGAACUAGGACACUGAUGUAGGUUUUGUUAUAGAUGAACUAGGACACUGAUGUAGGUUUUGUUAUAGAUGGACUAGGACACUGAUGUAGGUUUUGUUAUAGAUGAACUAGGACACUGAUGUAGGUUUUGUUAUAGAUGAACUAGGACACUGAUGUAGGUUUUGUUA